ACCUACGGGGGGCAGCAGUGGGGAAUAUUGCACAAUGGGGGGAACCCUGAUGCAGCGACGCCGCGUGAGUGAAGAAGUAUUUCGGUAUGUAAAGCUCUAUCAGCAGGGAAGAAAAUGACGGUACCUGACUAAGAAGCCCCGGCUAACUACGUGCCAGCAGCCGCGGUAAUACGUAGGGGGCAAGCGUUAUCCGGAUUUACUGGGUGUAACGGGAGCGGAGACGGCCAGACAAGUCUGAAGUGAAAAUCCAGCGCUUAACGUUGGAAGUGCUUUGGAAACUGCCGGGCUAGAGUGCAGGCGGGGCG
rnacentral:rRNA from 1 species